AAGAAUCAUUGCCCGAGUCAUCUUUCCUUGCACACAAAUUUUUGGGCAUCGAUCAUUUCAUAAUUAUGAUGAAUUCGGUGAAUAUUGCAUGUGUGGUUCAGGACAAUUAAACAAGUAGGAGUAUUACAUAAUUUGUGUUUGGGACUUUAGAUUACGAUGCCGGAACUUGAUGAAAUUAACAAGCAUAGAUAAAAAAUAGGGAGAAAUUGGAGGACAUUUCGUUAUCGCUUGCUCCUUUUGCCAUUGCACCUGGAUCAGAAUCCCAAUCUGGGGGCCUGCAUCUGUAACGUCUUGAGAAUCAGAAGCCUUAGCCUCGUGAAAGUUUUGGGCACUUCCUUUUUAUCUCUAACAUGUUUUGGGGACUUUUUUAUGUGGGGAUUCAUAAUUC
rnacentral:lncRNA from 1 species